AUGAAUCUUCAUUCGCUUAUUCUCUUGUAUGCAUCAGCAGCUUCUGUUUAUGGAAACGUCAUCAAACCAGAUGAAACAGAAGCUGUUCAUGUGAAGGGUUCAGAUGUUAAAUUAUCCUGCAGUUUUUCAGCCUCUGGAUAUACAGACUAUGUCUACUGGUACCGUCAGUAUGGAAGAUCAAAACCUGAAUACCUUGUUCAAACCUAUAGUAAUACAAAUGAACCUCAGCAAUCUCUAGUAGAUUCAAGAUUCACUGCUAACAUUGAAAAAAGAGACCAAAUUCAUGCGGAUCUGCUGCUCUCCUCUGCUGCAGUAGCAGACUCUGCUGUGUAUUACUGCGCUCUGAGGUCCACAGUCACAGGAAACACAUCAGCUCUAUACAAAAACCUUGCACAAUGA